GUUUUUCCCUCUUCACCUGCUCUCCACCUCAACUCCACAAGAAGCAUUAUAUGCAAAAUUUUCUUAUGUAACUAAUCAAAAGGGAAAGCAGAAACUUUCUUGACAUGCAGAGUAACAUGAUAGAUUUUUCUUAUUUUUGGUUUGUGUGUGAAAUAUCAAAUGAAUGUUGUAAUGAUUAGGAAGCUGAUUGGAGCGAGGUACUUCAACAAAGGGGUUGAAGCAGAGUUGGGGAGUCCGCUCAAUUCUUCCUACCAAACUGUACGAGAUACAAGUGGGCAUGGCACGCAUACACUGUCCACAGCUGGUGGUAGAUUUGUUGGUGGAGCAAACCUCUUGGGUUCAGGCUACGGAACUGCAAAGGGCGGCUCUCCUAGUGCUCGAGUUGCUUCAUACAAGUCUUGCUGGCCAGAUUGCAAUGAUGUUGAUGUAUUGGCUGCCAUUGAUGCUGCCAUACAUGAUGGCGUUGACAUCCUCUCCCUUUCAAUUGCAUUCGUAUCUCGCGAUUAUUUCUUAGACAGCAUCGCAAUUGGAUCUCUUCAUGCUGUCCAGAAUGGAAUUGUUGUUGUCUGUGCUGGCGGGAAUGAAGGACCCACGCCUGGAAGUGUUAAAAACAUGGCACCAUGGAUUAUAACUGUUGCUGCUAGUACAAUUGAUAGGGAUUUUCCCUCUAAUGUCACGCUGGGUAAUAACCAGCAAUUCAAGGUGAGUCCUUUAAUUCUACCAAUUUAAGAAAACACAUUUCUUUUAGUUUUCAUGGUCUGUAUAUCCACAUUUAUAUUCUUCUUGAUUCAGCUUUUGUGAUUUGUUUUUAAUCAGGGCCGGAGCUUCUACACCAAUACUUUACCAGCCGAGAAGUUUUAUCCCCUGGUGUAUUCUGUAGAUGCUAGAGCUGCUAAUGCUUCUGCAAGUGAUGCGUAAGUAAACUGAUACUCCAUCCAAUUCCAUGUCGAGUUUGUUAAUUGGCAUCCCAACUCUAUAGGCAUGACUGGUAACAUUUGCUUUCUCUGGAUGUUGUAGACAAGUUUGCUCUGUUGGAUCCCUGGACCCAAAGAAGGUGAAAGGGAAGAUUGUAUACUGUCUGGUUGGAGUCAAUGAAAAUGUUGAAAAGAGCUGGGUGGUUGCUCAGGCAGGUGGCAUCGGGAUGAUUCUUUCCGACCGUCUGUCCACCGAUACAUCGUUUNNNNNNNNNNNNNNNNNNNNNNNNNNNNNNNNNNNNNNNNNNNNNNNNNNNNNNNNNNNNNNNNNNNNNNNNNNNNNNNNNNNNNNNNNNNNNNNNNNNNCCAUGUAAAAUCCAUUUUCUUAGAUGAUCAUNUUAGUAUUAAGGAAAGUUUUUUUUUUUUUUUUUCAUGUUUCCACUUUCAGGUACCCUGUUGCUUACAUCAGUGGUGCAACUGAAGUGGGUACAGUAGCAGCACCCAUCAUUCCUUCUUUUUCGUCUCAGGGCCCUAAUCCAAUCACUCCAGAAAUCCUCAAGGUGGGUUACGUAUUAUAGUCCCAAAUAAAUUAAGUAGUAGUUCAGAGGAGCUUCAGUUUAGUUUCCUUUUUAUUCCACCCCUGCAUUGGAAGGCUAAACCCCUGCUAGUAUCAAGGGUUAGUGUUUGACAUGAAACCCAAUUUUCUAGCAGCGAUCAUACCACAAAAUCUGAGGCAAGGAGUGUCAGUUGCUAAAACAAUUUCCUUAAUUUUCUUUAACAUUCAUGUAAGAUCCAACAAUAUUGAUUUUAAUCUACAGCCUGACCUCACUGCACCCGGAGUGCAAAUUGUAGCGGCUUACUCACAAGCAACGGGGCCUACAGAUCUUCAAUCAGAUGAUCGUCGUGUUCCCUUUAGCAUCAUAUCUGGUACUUCAAUGUCUUGCCCUCAUGUUGCUGGAACAAUAGGCCUUCUCAAGAAGAUUCACCCUGAUUGGAGUCCAUCAGCCUUAAGAUCUGCAAUCAUGACCACCGGUCAGUACCAUAUAUUAAAUUUUCAUCGGACAUAUAUUGUAUAGUUAUGCUGUUUUGAGAAUAUUAUUAAGAUGAACAACUGAUGCUUAACGUUGACCACAAUAUGGAUCCCAGCGAGAACUAGAACUAACGUGAGACAACCUUUGGUGAAUGAGACACUUGGAGAGGCAAACCCCUUCAGCUAUGGUGCAGGGCAUCUCUGGCCUAGCCGUGCAAUGGACCCAGGUUUGGUCUAUGACUUAACCACCACUGACUACUUGAACUUUCUGUGCUCUAUUGGCUACAAUGCAACCCAACUUUCAACAUUUGUGGACAAGGGAUAUGAAUGCCCAUCAAAGCCCAUGAGCCUUUUGAAUUUAAACUACCCCUCAAUUACCGUCCCCAGUCUCUCAGGCAAGGUAACAGUGACUCGGACCCUGAAGAAUGUUGGAACCCCAGCUACAUACACAGUUCGAACUGAGGUGCCUAGUGGAAUAUCGGUGAAGGUGGAGCCCAAUACGCUUAAAUUUGAAAAGAUUAAUGAAGAGAAAACAUUCAAGGUGAUAUUGGAAGCAAAGAGAGAUGGUAAGGGAGGUGAGUAUGUUUUUGGAAGGCUCAUAUGGUCAGAUGGAGAACACUACGUCAGAAGCCCUAUAGUGGUCAAUGCAACCACUCUUUAGAUAUAACCAUGAUUUUUAUUAUUAUUAUUAUUUUUGUAAUGUCAAGCUAAUUACCUAAAAUAAAUCUAUAUUUACCAUGUGGACUCACCAUUAAUAAAAAAGAGACCUUGAACUUCAUUUUGAUCUAAUAUCAUCCAUUUAAAUAUUACGAGGUUCUAAACUUCCAUCCAUAGUAGAAUUGUAAUAUAGAUGAGGCCUAAAUUCUAUAUAUUAAAAAGGUUGAAGCAAAUUUUAAGUCUUGAUAUAUGAACUACAUGAAGGGUGAUGAUUAGGUAGUCUAUGAAUUAAUCUUAAAUUCAAAUUUUAUUAUUAAUUUUUUAUUAAAUAAUUAAUGAAAGUACAUUAAUUUAACGUAUAUGUAAUUAAUAUCAAUCUCACACGGUGAUAGGAAAUAUAAUAUGGAAAAACUAUCUACCACCACGAGAUGGUGUCUCAAUUGCAAGUAAUUUAUUAAACAUGAGAAGAUGGUACAUAGAUUUAUCUUAUCAGGGAUAUCUACUCUUAUAAGAAAAUGUUUUUUAGUGGAUUGCUCAAAAGUUUUUAUCAAAAUUGAAACGUUUCAAGUCCAAAGCUUUUUGAUAUUUGAAUAGUAACUUAAAAAUGAAAAUAGAAAUUUUGAGAGAUGGAGGUUCAAACUUUGGAUGAUAUAACUAUUGUUCUCUUAAUGUCUUUAUUUUCCCAUAUAAUAAGACUUUUUAUAUUUGAAAAACUCCAAGCCUUUAAAAUUACAUAUCUAGUAACAAUAAUCAUCAAUAAGCUAGCACAUAAGGGGAAUGGAUAGGUGCUCAGGCCAAGCUAUGCAACAACCCAAGACUCCAGAACUACGAGUGUAGUAUCAAUGCAUUGAACAUGAGCCUCUAUUGCUACAAUCCAUGAAACAAUGUCCUCAAUGGAAGCAACAAUCCUUUGCAACAAGUGCUUCAGGCAACCAAAGAUGAGGAGCAUAUAGUUACACCCGCUAGAGUUCCCUGCACCUCGAAUAGCAACCCGAUGACAUAGAGAAGGUCCUUGAACAUCAUUGCCUACUCCGCAGCUCGAAUCUCCCACUCCUAAUCAUCCUUAAUUUUUGAAAACCUUGAUCAAUUUUUAAUUUGUAUUACCUAGAAGUUUAAAAAGGAUAUAAUCAUCAAGCUAAAUACAUCUUUACCUUUACAACAAAUUAAUGAAAGUGAAUUUAACAAUGUGGAGUAAUCAAGAAUGGGCAAUAUCAUUUAAUAGUUGAAAUUCAAAUUUUGUAAUUCAUAAAAAUUGACGGAUCAAAGACUAGACCCAUGCGAGACAUUGACAUAACAACUAGUGGGGCUAAUAAAAUUUUUGGAAGAACUCAUUGGCUCGAUUCAAUUUAUUAAUAUUCCGUUUUUCUAUCAAUAUUUAAGCUAGAUGGAAACUAGAUUGUUUUGAACUUUCAAUAAUUGAUGACUUUGGAGGUGUAUACAGUGAACUUGUCUAUUUAAAAGGGAGUGUAGACAAAAAUGUCUACCUCAUAAACCAUGAGUUUUUGACUAGUAAGAGCAUUCAUUCAAUAUUCCAACAUGGUGGCUAGUCAGAUAUAUGUGAUUGAUUGAAACAAUUUGGAGAAAUUUUUUGGGUUAAAGGAAAGCUUAAAAAAUCUAGGGUUAUUUGAUUAAAAGGGUUUUUGAAAACCCAAUUUUUUAAAUUUAACCUCUAUCCAUUUUUUGGUCAUAUUUGGACAAAAAUGUUUUCAUUAUUUUCUUAUAAAAAUAACAAUCUCUUUUAAAACCUAUAUGUAAAUAUUUGAAAUGGUAAAAGACAUUUAUGUCAAAGGUGAAUUACUUUUCAAGAAAAAAAAUACGAGAAUGGUUAGAUUCAUAAUAUGAGGAUUAUUUCACUGUUUUUAACCAAAUAUUUCAAAAAUGUAUAAUUUGAUAUAUCGUUUUCUUUCUUGUAAUGAUCUUUGAUUUUCCAUGAAUUGACAUUAUAAGAGUCUUCUGGCCCCAUUGUCAUCCCAGAAGUUAUUUCAAUUCCCACUUGUUUUGAAUAUUCCUGUUUUCUAGAUUUUCUUAGUCUUCCAUGCUUUAUAAAUCAACUCUAGGCAAAAUUUUCCUCUUCUAUGACCAAAUUUUCCUCUACUAUUGCCUUUUAUUUCAUCUUCAAUCAUGUGCACCUGCACAUGGUAAAGCCAUAUUGAUAGCAUAAAUUGGAGCCGGUUUUUCUAGCUAUCAGUUCUAGAACAGUAGAAAAAUGUAUGAACUGAAAUCUGACUUAUUUAUAUCAGUAAUGACAUUUUUUUUAAGGUGGAUGGAGUGAAGAAAAUGAUGAACAUACCUCCCCAAGAAUGCUUGUCAACUACAUAUAUGAAUGUAAUACCUUUUCCUUACUAGCUUAAUCAUCCAUUCUCUUUGAUUUCACAACUCUCAAUUUUAAGUCAAGCAUACUGGUGAAGGUCUGUGUCAAAAAUCCCCCUUGUCAUUGAUUACACUGCAGAUAGGGAUAUGAAUAUAAAUAUAUUUACUUGAUCAAUGAAGAUUAAUUAAGACUUUCAUAUUUUCCAGCAGAGUUAGGCUAAGCUUAGAAGAAAACAAAGGGUACUUGGUUCAGUAGCGGAAGCUUCCUAUUGACAAUCAUCACCUAUCAAUUAUAUAUUUGAUGAAAAUAUAUAAAUAUAUUAAAUAAAUUAUCCAUGCAAUUUGAGGUAGGAAAUCCUUUAAAAGGGAUAGUAGAGACCCUCUUACUUGAAGAACAUAAAGCAGAGGUUCUAACCACAGAGAUCUAGGGGAAUCAAAUGGGGAUUAUGAGUCCUCCUCUUUUCCUUCUCUCUUUCAUUCUCUUCACUGUGAUGAAGUGUCCAACACUGGCUCUCAAACGGGCAAGCAUUAUUCUCUAUCUCUCUCAAUUCUCUAAGUGGCUAACUACCCAUGUUAACCUGUUUUAUAGAACCUCAUGUCAUGUGGUGUAAUAUGAUUUUGUUGUACCCUUUUUCUACAGUCAUAUGUGGUGUACCUAGGUAGUCAUUCACAUGGAGCUGAACCUACUUCUGUAUUGGGGAAGAUAUAAUUAUUGGAAACCUAGACACUGGUAAUCUUGAUUGCUAACCAGCUUUGAGAUUUGGUGAAGUUUAAAAUGCUAAUACUCUUUCAAUGAGUUAUCUAUAUUCGGUAGCAUUAAUCUUUUGAAAUAAUAUCUUGGCUUGCCUAUCAGAAAAAGCUUGAGGAAUCAACAAGCAAGCUAGUGUUACUGCAUUCGUACAAUGCAUAGAUAAGACACUCCUCAACUACACUAGCACCAAAUCAUAUUAGCUGCAAUCCUAGUUUUUAUGAUUUUUGACUUAGUAAACUAGAUUUUUAAUGAUUUCUUGGACUUUACAUAGGUGCCGGAUUAAUUGGGUGCUAAUUGACUUGAAUAAUCAAAGUAGACCAAAUGAAUAAUUAGUUUGCAUCUACGAAGUCAAGGAGGAGUGUUGAAUUUUGACUUAGUAUUUGCUGGAAUUUGAAUUUUGAAUAUUGCAGCUGGAGUCUUGCGCAAAAUCUGCAACAUCUAGAUAUUUUCUUAUUUUUAUUUGGUCAAGAUUUGGUUUCUAUUUUAUAGGAAGUAGUUGUUCAUCAUCUAGUAGCUUGAUUUUCUGCUAUUCUAAUGUCAUUUAAGUUACAAGCUCAUGUAUAAAUUCAGCACUCUUCAUCAAUAAUCAUAGUUCCGGCAGCCCAAAAAUAUAUAUUCUGUAUAAGUAUUUAAUCUUAUACCAACAAAGUGGUAUCAGAGCCAUAGUUAUCUUGAGGGGCCAGUGAGGUGAGUGAACCCAAACACCUUCUAAAAUCAUUUAGCAAUGGAAGAGUCAAGUCUCACAGUUGCACCAUCAAUUCUUGAUGGAGACAAUUAUGAAACUUGGGCUGUUAGAAUGACAGUUCAUCUACAAGCACUUGAUGUUUGGGAAGCAGUGGACACUNNNNNNNNNNNNNNNNNNNNNNNNNNNNNNNNNNNNNNNNNNNNNNNNNNNNNNNNNNNNNNNNNNNNNNNNNNNNNNNNNNNNNNNNNNNNNNNNNNNNAGAGUUAAGGAUCCUUCCCCAAUGACUGGGGUUGUGUUACCAUUGGCUGUGGAAACAAUUUUUUGUGAGGAAGGUCUAAGGGGUGAAACCUGUCUAGAAUCAAAAGUCAUAUGAUCUGUAGUACCAGAAUCAAUUAUCCAUGCACUAUUAAUAACAGGUGUAAAAGUAUUUAAAAACUUACCACCAUGAUCUGUAGCAGCUACCAAUGCAGAGGCUUUCUCAGCAACAUUAGCCUCUAUUUUAUUUCGGCAACAGUUGCAAUCGAGCUUUUCUUGGAAUCCUUCUUCCGUUGAUCACGAUUAUUAUCAUUAAUAACAAAGUGUUGAUAGCCUAAACAUGAUCUAAAGGUCCAUGGUUCAAACCCUCGGUUCCUCAUUGUUUUCCUGGUCAUACCAAGAGUCGUUGCUUUGAAAUUGUGGGAUAUCCAGAUUGGUGGGAUCAAUCUUAUUGCAGUGAGUGCAUUUGAAGGUUGACUUAUCAAUAUUAGGGCUUGUCUUAGGAUGGAUGAUCGCUGUCGGACUACCAUAGCGACAAAAUAUCCAGGAUUUCAGUUCCAUGGCUCUGAUACCAUCUUCAAAUUGAUAAAUGGUAGUUUUUUCCAUUCAUUACUUUCAUUCGUUCAUGUACAGAUAAUAUAUAGAGGGUAAUUACCAUUCUAAGAAUAAGAAGGAAUGAUACAAGGAAAGAAUGAUAUAAGGAAAUAACAACUAAUAUCCUAAUAUCUUAACUUUCCUAAUAUCUCAAUAUUCCUAAUAUCUCAAUAUUCUUAAUAUCUUAACUUUCCUAAUAUUUAAACAUUCCUAAUAUUUCAACACUAAAUAAUAUAAGGAAAGAAUGAUAUACGGAAAGCAUUCCUAAUAUCUCAACAUAUUUUGUAGAUGCUAGAGCUGCUAAUGCUUCUGAAAACGAUGAUUAAGUAAACUGAUACUCCAUCCAAAUUCCAUCUCCAGUUUGUUAAUUGGCAUCACCAACUGUAUAGCCAUGACUGGUAACAUGUGCUUUCUCUGGAUGUUGUAGAGACAACUUUGUUCUGUUGGAUCGCUGGACCCAAAGAAGGUGAAAGGGAAUAUUGUAUACUGUCUGGUUGCAGUAUACAAUAUUUUUCCUGUAAUCAUCCUUGUCGCUAGUAGAUAUUUUUCCAAUGCGUGUGCUUUGACCCGGAGGUCCCAUCAAUAAUGGGAAAGCGCUCAACAUGUGGAGAACCGUGCUCCAAGUCAAAGCCAACCCGUAAUAGAAUAAAUAAAGAAGUAAGGUAGAAGUAGUUGCCAGGUAUGGUUCGUCCUUUUAGGAUGAAGCCUACAGGGCUCACUGUAAAAAUUUUCAGGGUUUAUGUUACUAGGACAACUGCACAUUCAAGCCUGGCCCGCUGCUGAACCUAGUAACUCAUGGUACAAUGCUGGCAGCCUUUGGCUCAAGGCAGCAACACAGUUGGCUGGUUCUGAUGAUUCUUGGACCAACUACAAUGAACCUGCAGGAUGAAGAGACACUAGGGCCUCAUCAGCAAGCACAGGAACGUAUAACGAAAGCAACAGUGCUACGCCAUUGACAAUUCAAGUCUUCAUACGGCACCAGCUUUGCAUUACCUAGAGGCUUAAAAAUGAUAUCGCCAUCAAGUUAAACACUGCCUUAAACACAGCGAAUGAAUUAAAGCGAGUUUCACAAUGUGGAGAUAUCAAGAAUUGAUGAUAUCAUUUGAUAGUUGAGUCAAAUUUUUUAACAUGAUAAUUUUCUCUAGUAGGACCUUCCCUCCUAGGGACUUUCCGGUAACCUUCACUUGGAGAGCCUUCUGGCCCCAUUGUAAUCCCAGAAGCUAUUUCAGAGCACACCGGUUUUGAAUUAUCCUCUUUUCUACACUUUCUUAGUCUUCCAUGCUUUAUAAAUCAACGCCAGGCAACAUUAUCCUUUACCAUGACUAAGCAUGUAAAAGAUGGUCAAAUUGUUGGUAUGAAAAGACCAUGUUGAGUAUUUCCUUUCAUUUCAUUUUCGAUCAGAUGCACCUGCAACAAAGUGGUAAAGCCAUAUUGAUAAAUUUUUUUCAUGUAGUGGAGCCGGUUUUUCUAGGUAUCGGUUUUAGAACAGUAGAAACUUAUGAACUGUGAUCUCCAACUUAUUUAUAAAUAGGUGAUGACCAUGCUGCCUCAAGAAUGCAUAUCGAUUACAUAUAUCGAUAUUAUACCUUUUCAAUAUGAGCUUAAUCAUCCAUUUAAUUUCUCUCAUUUCACAAUUCUUAUCUGAUUUUAGUUUAAUUAUACAUGCUGGGGAGGGUCUAUGUCAAGACCCCCAUGUGAUAGGGUAAGGAUAUAAGAUUAUUUAAGAUUUUCUUAUUAUCUUGUGACUUAGGAUAAGCUUGAAAGAAAAGAAAAGGUACUUAGCAAAAGUUUCUAGAGGUGUACAAAAGCUUCCUAUUGACUAUUAUUACCUAUCCAUUAUACAUUUUGAUAAAAAUAGAUUAAUAUUGAAUUAUGCAUACAAUUUGAGGUAGCAAAUACUUUAAAAGGGAUAGCAGAGAUCCCCCCUUAAAUCUUAAUUGAAGAACAUAUAGCAGAGGUUCUAAACCCAGAGAUCUAGGGGAAUCAAAUGGGGAUUAUGAAUCUUCCUCUUUUCCUUCUCUCUUUCAUUCUCUUCUAUGUGAUGCAGUGUCCGACACUGGCUCUCAAACGGGUAAGCAUUAUUCUCUAUCUCCCUCAAUUCUCUAAGUGGCUAACUACCUGUCUUAAUCUGUUGUUACUUGAUUUUUUUGUACCCGUAUUCUUCAGUCUUACGUGGUGUACCUAGGUGGCCAUUCACAUGGAUCUCAACGUACUUCUGAAAUGGAUCUCAACAGAAUUACUGAUUCCCAUCAUGAUCUUUUGGGUUCUUGCCUGGGCAGGUGAUAAACAUUGAUAUUACUAAUCAAUCCCACACUACUGGCUACUAUAUUAUUUGCUUUAGAUCCAUUCUAUUUUUGUUGCUGCAGCAAGGAGAAAGCACAAGAAUCAAUUUUUUACUCCUACACACAUCACAUAAAUGGUUUUGCUGCUAACCUGGAAGACGAAGAGGCAGCAGAGCUCUCAAGUACAGUACUCACACACAACAGCAGCUAUAGAUAUUUACAUUCUUUAUGCUUCGUUUCCUUCCCAUAGUUCAAUCUUUUUAAGCACCAUAAUGUUUCUAUAUUGUGUUUUGAAUGCAGAGCGGCCAGGAGUUGUAUCUAUUUUCUUAAACCAGAAACAUAAACUGCAAACGACUCGGUCUUGGGAGUUUCUUGGACUAGAGAGAAAUGGAGAGAUUCCUGCAGAUUCUAUCUGGGUUAAGGCGAGAUUUGGUGAAGAUAUAAUUAUUGGCAACAUAGAUACUGGUAAUCUUGAUUUUCUAACCAGCUUUGAGAUAUGGUAGAAUAUUAAAAGUUACUCUUUCAAUGAGGCAUCUCCAUUCAGUAGCAUUACUCUUUUGAAAUAUUUCUUGGCUUGCUUAUCAGAAACAGAUUGAGGAAUCAACAAACUAGUUAGUGUUAUUGCAUUCAUACAAUGUGAUCAAUAUGAAUUACUUCCCUGUAGCUUAUACUAAUGAAAUUUGUCUUUGAUAUAAAAUGAAAUUAAUUAAAUAGAAAAAGACUUAAAAUUUUAGCAAGGGGGUAUAUUUCAUUAUUUAUAGCUAGCGGCUUAAAUUGAUCAAUCCACCCUCAUUAAUCAACUUUGGUUUUUCUUUUUCCUUGGCCUAAUGGUUUUCUAAAUCCAUGGUGGUUGUGGUAGGUGUUUGGCCUGAAUCAGAAAGUUUCAAUGACCAAGGAAUGGGACCGAUUCCAUCAAAGUGGAAAGGUUACUGUGAGCCCAAUGAUGACGUUAAGUGCAACAGGUUUUUCCCUCUUCACCUGCUCUCAACCUCAACUCCACAAGAAGCGUUAUAUGCAAAAUUUUCUCAUGUAACUAAUCAAAAGGGAAAGCAGAAACUUUCUUGACAUGAAGAGUAACAUGAUAGAUUUUUCUUAUUUUUGGUUUGUGUGUGAAAUAUCAAAUAAAUGUUGUAAUGAUUAGGAAGCUGAUUGGAGCGAGGUACUUCAACAGAGGGGUUGAAGCAAAGUUGGGGAGUCCGCUCAAUUCUUCCUACCAAACUGUACGAGAUACAAAUGGGCAUGGCACGCAUACACUGUCCACAGCUGGUGGUAGAUUUGUUGGUGGAGCAAACCUCUUGGGUUCAGGCUACGGAACUGCAAAGGGCGGCUCUCCUAGUGCUCGAGUUGCUUCAUACAAGUCUUGCUGGCCAGAUUGCAAUGAUGCUGAUGUAUUGGCUGCCAUUGAUGCUGCCAUACAUGAUGGCGUUGACAUCCUCUCCC
rnacentral:lncRNA from 1 species